CAAAAUAUUCCCCACAGCUUCAAAUACACUUAGCAUACUGUUCUGGUCACUUUCUGAAGCAGCUCUGAAGUCCUCUUUUGGGAGUAUCUUUAUGAGAUGUGAUCAAAAAUACAGUGAAUGCUACUGCUGUGUGCUGUCUAGUUGAAAGACGGGCUCAUAAAAACAUGUCGCUGUGUCCUCCUCCUCCCAGUCACCGGAUCUGGCACUGUGCAACUUCCAGCUCUUUCUCAGAGUCAGAAUGAUCUCAAGAGGGAAGUGUGUUUGAUCAAUUCUGGAAUCGAGGCAGCCAGGACAGCACAACCCAAGAUACUCAGGAAAGGGACUCCAGAGCUGCUGCAGAAAGUAGCAAGAAAGAUGGGAUGCCUCUCUCUCCUGGUCACCCAAGACCAGCACCACCACUGCUCUAAGGAGCACCAUUGCACAAUGCAAUCAAAUGGGUUCUCAACUGGCCACAGGAUUCCCUAGGACAAAAGACUAUUUUAUAUCACCUCAAUUAUGUUGUGAAAAAUCUCAAAAUAUUUCAAUGAAAAGGAAAAAGCCAUAGAACAGUUUUCAGUACAGCACACCACAUCUCCCUACUCUCACUUAUCAACAACUCAUUCUUGGAAUUCUUCUAUCAAGAAAGACACUUUAUAACCAACUAUUUUUGUACAUGAAAAACUGGUCUCAAUGGGGAGUAACACUGAAAAA
rnacentral:lncRNA from 1 species